CAGCCACUCAUCCUUACAGAUUCUUUAACUCAGGUCUGGCUUUUUCUCUGAGAACUUCACAAAAUCAAUUCCUAAAAUUUGAAAGCAAAAUGUCCCUGUGUGCUGAGCUGGCAGCAUGCAUGCAGAGGAACUCUCCCAAGAGACUUUACCACAGCCGUUUCAUACUCCUAGUGAGGUCUGCUCUGAGAACAGUGCAGUAAUUUAAGCUGUCUUCAGUAACAUGAGUUACAGAAAAAUGCAGAUAAGGACUUAUGAUGCCGCCCUCCGAAUGGAGAGUUAGGGCAGAGGAGAAGCCAUUUAGACCCAAAAAUCUAUAUAUCUAAGUGCCUGUGUGUGGGCAGGGUUAUCUUCGACCUUCAUGGCCAACAGAGUGAUAAGCCAGGCAACGGGAGGCAAAAAGCCAGCUUGGCUCAACACUACUCAGUAGCUGGUGUUGGUUCAAACUUCAGGAAUCUGACCCUGAGUUGUUUGUUUUAGGCAUAUUUAAGCAUAGUACAAUUUGGUGAAAACUACUCUGGUAAUAAUUAACUCAAUCCCGUGUGCACAACCAAGCAUACAUAAGUAAAUCUCCUUGGGAAAUAAAUUAAUCUAAAUGCAUUCAGAUGUGACUAUGUCAAAACUCUUUGUAAAGUCCAUAAAGAUAGGUUCUAUAGAUUAACUGAAAAAAACAAAUUUAUGAUAAGGUCUGCAGAGGAUCUAGUGCCAGAAAAGUCUUUAGCAGAUAGCACAAUGGUCAUGGCUGCUCCAGCCUCUGGGAAGAUAACAUGUUUUUCAUUCCUUCCCAUGAAGGAACAACCUUGUGUGCUUACCAUUCCAGGUUCCCCUAGCACAUGCCUGAAAGCACAAAGACUUCCAUCCAUCCAUGCCCCCCUCUUUAAGUAAAACCCCAGACCUAUACAUUUAGGAAGUGAGUCUGAACUUAUUUCUUCUUGAAAUUAAAAGAGAAUACUGAGCAUGGUGUCUUGUGUAUAAGCAGGCAGACUGCCCCAAGCCUGAUGCCAGCCUGGGCUACACAGUGAGUAGUGAUCAAACCAGAGCUACACAGCAAGAUGCUGACUCAAAAUAACAAAUAAUGCUCAGGAAACUAAAGACUGGAACAUUAUCCCCCGGAUUUUUCAUGCUUUUGGAACCGUGUAUGAACAUCCUGACAGGCUUUGAGGAAAUGCAACAAAAAGCAGCUGGCUCAGCAAAACCACAGCCUUCCAGACUGCCCUGCCCCUCCAUGACAAAGCACUUUUGGAGCCCAAGCCCUCUAGAGAAACAGAGUGCUGAGUCACUGUGGAACAACAGCCCUCCACCACAAGAUUUCUCCACCCCCACCUCCUCCUCUGGACUGAACUAGUAUUCUACAGAACAGAGGGGCCUGUCUCUCUCAUGGCCUGCAUUUGCU
rnacentral:lncRNA from 1 species